GGGAAGCGUUGGGCCAAUAGGAGCGGGAGUGGGCGUGGCCAAGGGGCUUGCGGAGGCAGGCAGCUGGAAGGCCUCCUGGAGAGAAGAGCCGGGGCCCCGGGGCCCCGAAGAGGACGGCGCGGGGGGCGGCAGCCGGUGCAGCUCCUGCGGAGGGGUCUCCAGGAUGGAGCUGGCCGUGCGCUGCCCCAGCGGCUCUUCGUCCUCUAUCUAGCAGUGGCCGCCAUCUGCCUGGGUCUCCUCAUGCUCCCACUGGAGGGCCAGCCCAGCCGGAUCUUGCCCACCACCCUCCACGCCUCCCUCCCCCAGAAGCUGGUGGCCGCUUAUGUCCUGGGCCUGCUGACCAUGGCCUUCCUGCAGGGCUGAGACCCUCUCCAUUCUCCCCUCCAAAGGGAAGGGAGGCAGUCGGACUGAAUCCAGGCCAGGAAGGGGGCCAGCUUGACCGGCAUCAUCAUCAUCAUCACUGGCCACAAGAGCGCAUGGUCUCUGCCAGCUGGCCAUGGCACAGAGGGCAAGAGAGCACCCUGUAGUCCACCUUGGAGUAGCCACUGGUAGCCACAGCCCUUGCGGGCCUGAGAGAUGGGGCUGUCCUGGGAAGGCCUGGGGCCCAGCUGCCCAGAGAGUGGGGCGCUGGGUGGGCAAGUGGGCAUCCAUCUGUCCCCCUGCAAAAAAUCCCCCCCAUGUCUUUGCCAUCCUGGGUGAUUCUCUGUCAAAGCUGAAAUAAAGGGAAAAGGUGAGGAAAGAGA